UGCAGUCGAACGAUGAAGAUCCCAGCUUGCUGGGGUUGGAUUAGUGGCGAACGGGUGAGUAACACGUGAGUAACCUGCCCUCCACUUCGGGAUAACUCCGAGAAAUCGGUGCUAAUACCGGAUACGACAUGUCCUCGCAUGGGGGUGUGUGGAAAGAUUUUUUCGGUGGGGGAUGGGCUCGCGGCCUAUCAGCUUGUUGGUGGGGUGAUGGCCUACCAAGGCUUCGACGGGUAGCCGGCCUGAGAGGGUGUCCGGCCACACUGGGACUGAGACACGGCCCAGACUCCUACGGGAGGCAGCAGUGGGGAAUAUUGCACAAUGGGCGCAAGCCUGAUGCAGCGACGCCGCGUGAGGGAUGACGGCCUUCGGGUUGUAAACCUCUUUCAGUAGGGAACAAGGCUCCUCAUUUUUGGGGGGUUGAGGGUACCUGCAGAAGAAGCGCCGGCUAACUACGUGCCAGCAGCCGCGGUAAUACGUAGGGCGCAAGCGUUGUCCGGAAUUAUUGGGCGUAAAGAGCUCGUAGGCGGUUUGUCGCGUCUGCUGUGAAAACGCGGGGCUUAACCCUGCGCUUGCAGUGGGUACGGGCAGACUUGAGUGCGGUAGGGGAGACUGGAAUUCCUGGUGUAGCGGUGGAAUGCGCAGAUAUCAGGAGGAACACCGGUGGCGAAGGCGGGUCUCUGGGCCGUUACUGACGCUGAGGAGCGAAAGCAUGGGGAGCGAACAGGAUUAGAUACCCUGGUAGUCCAUGCCGUAAACGUUGGGCACUAGGUGUGGGAUCUGUUUCCACGGGUUCCGUGCCGUAGCUAACGCAUUAAGUGCCCCGCCUGGGGAGUACGGCCGCAAGGCUAAAACUCAAAGGAAUUGACGGGGGCCCGCACAAGCGGCGGAGCAUGCGGAUUAAUUCGAUGCAACGCGAAGAACCUUACCAAGGCUUGACAUGCACCGGAAACACUCAGAGAUGGGUGCCCCUUUUUGGUCGGUGCACAGGUGGUGCAUGGUUGUCGUCAGCUCGUGUCGUGAGAUGUUGGGUUAAGUCCCGCAACGAGCGCAACCCUUGUCCUGUGUUGCCAGCGGGUUAUGCCGGGGACUCAUGGGAGACUGCCGGGGUCAACUCGGAGGAAGGUGGGGAUGACGUCAAAUCAUCAUGCCCCUUAUGUCUUGGGCUUCACGCAUGCUACAAUGGCCGGUACAAAGGGUUGCGAUGCCGUGAGGUGGAGCGAAUCCCAAAAAGCCGGUCUCAGUUCGGAUUGGGGUCUGCAACUCGACCCCAUGAAGUCGGAGUCGCUAGUAAUCGCAGAUCAGCAACGCUGCGGUGAAUACGUUCUCGGGCCUUGUACACACCGCCCGUCACGUCACGAAAGUCGGUAACACCCGAAGCCGGUGGCCCAACCCCCUUGUGGGGAGGGAGCUGUCGAAGGUGGGACUGGCGAUGGGACGAAGUCGAACAA
rnacentral:rRNA from 1 species